UGCACACGCUGAAAUGUCUCGCCUUCUUUACUAAUCAUUGAUAUUAUGUUGAUAGUCCUAAAUAUAAAGCUUUAUUACAACUGCCACAUAAACUUAACAUUAACCAAGUAAACUAAACAUUGACCAAUGAACCAUGAAAAUGAGGUCAAGGUCAGAUGAACCAUGCUAGGCAGGCAUGUACAGCUAACAAUUCUUCCAUACAACAAAUAUAGUUGACCUAUUGCUUAUAGUUUAAGAAAAACAGACGAAAACACAAAAACUUAACACUGAGCAAUGAACCUUGAAAAUGAGGUCAAGGUCAAAUAAAACCUGCGUGACUGACAUAUAGAUCAUAAAAUAUUUCCAUACACCAAAUAUAGUUGAACUAUUGCAUAUAGUAUUAGAAAAAAAGACCAAAACUCAAAAACUUAACUUUGACCACUGAACCAUGAAAAUGAGGUCAAGGUAAGAUGACACCUGCCAGCUAGACAUGUACACCUUACAAUCAUUCCAUACACCAAAUAUAGCUGACCUAUUGCAUGCAGUAUUAGAAAAAAAGACCAAAACUCAAAAACUUAACUUUGACCACUGAACCAUGAAAAUGAGGUCAAGGUCAGAUGACACCUGCCAGCUAGACA